UCAAACUUGGUCAUUUAGAGGAAGUAAAAGUCGUAACAAGGUUUCCGUAGGUGAACCUGCGGAAGGAUCAUUACCGAGUGAGGGCCCUCCGGGUCCAACCUCCCACCCAUGUUUAUCGUACCUUGUUGCUUCGGCGGGCCGGCCGCCAGGCCACCGGGGGGCAUCCGCCCCCGGGCCCGCGCCCGUCGAAGACACCCGUGAACGCUGUCUGAAGUAUGCAGUCUGAGCGAAAAGCUAAAUUGUUAAAACUUUCAACAACGGAUCUCUUGGUUCCGGCAUCGAUGAAGAACGCAGC
rnacentral:misc_RNA from 1 species